rnacentral:siRNA from 1 species
CGAAUAUUGUUGACGUCUGUCUG